UAAGUUUAUUUUAAGGAAAUAAAACACACUUAAUUCAAAUAUUUUCUAACAUCAUAGUGUCUUUUCAAAUACCUCUCAUUUUAGAGAAGGAGCGUAUCAAAAGAGGCUCUAAGAUCAAUGAAAUUCAUCUUAAUUAAUUGCUCAAACGAAAAAGAGGUGUGUUAUUUGAACAACAAUUUUGGAACAAUUUUUGGGACAACUUUUCUUUCCUUUAUUCUUAUUGGACAAUAACAAUAGAGAGAGAAAAAGGAAGAGAUAAUAUAAGAAUAUAAUAUGAGUAUAAAAGAGAAAGUUGUCAAAAAUUGUUGUACAAAUAUCAUUUCUCAACGAAAAAAUACUAGAAACAC
rnacentral:lncRNA from 1 species